rnacentral:rRNA from 1 species
GACGAACGCUGGCGGCGUGCUUAACACAUGCAAGUCGAACGGAAAGGCCCUGCUUUUGUGGGGUGCUCGAGUGGCGAACGGGUGAGUAACACGUGAGUAACCUGCCCUUGGCUUUGGGAUAACUUCAGGAAACUGGGGCUAAUACCGGAUAGGAGCUCCUGCUGCAUGGUGGGGGUUGGAAAGUUUCGGCGGUUGGGGAUGGACUCGCGGCUUAUCAGCUUGUUGGUGGGGUAGUGGCUUACCAAGGCUUUGACGGGUAGCCGGCCUGAGAGGGUGACCGGCCACAUUGGGACUGAGAUACGGCCCAGCCUCCUACGGGAGGCAGCAGUGGGGAAUAUUGCACAAUGGGCGGAAGCCUGAUGCAGCAACGCCGCGUGCGGGAUGACGGCCUUCGGGUUGUAAACCGCUUUCGCCUGUGACGAAGCGUGAGUGACGGUAAUGGGUAAAGAAGCACCGGCUAACUACGUG